UACAGAAGAUGGGGGUUAAAGAGAAAAGUAUGAAGCCAGCCCAUGAAGGAAGACUAUGGACUGGAGGAGACAGGAACAGAAGACUUUUCUCUGCAACAAUGAUGAGAAGACUCUCCCGUGGAAUGCAGAGCUAUGUUGGUCACAAUCCCUCUGAGUGUUUCCAGGGUACCAGAUGGAAAGACCUCAGUUUCCAAGGAAUAGGUUCCUGUCCUCCAUGAUGGGGAUGGGGCUGUUUCUCCAGCCCUGUCGGGCGAUUCCAGUCAACAAUACCACCUGAGUGCUCGCUUCUGAAGUAAACUAGCAAGUCAUCUCUCCUAGUGCUUUUUCCUUCCAAGAAA
rnacentral:lncRNA from 1 species